rnacentral:lncRNA from 1 species
GGAAAAGUUCGGGCCUUCCAGUCAGACAGCUGGGCUAAAGUCUGCAGUAUACUCACCGAGAUACAUACUCACCUCUCUGAAGCUCAGCCUACAAGAAGGAUUCUGCUUGCAGUGUACAGAUGUAUAUAUCCAUGGGAGUGUCACUAUUUCCACUUUUUGCCCCUAAUUUGUUAGAUUUGGGAAGGAAAAAAUUUGGCCUCUAAAUGCUGUUUUUCACUCUCUUCCUAUAGCUUCCUAGAGGUUGGCCUACGUCUCAGCAUGAAAUGGAUGUAGAGGGAGAGGCCGGGGGAAGGAGGACAGCGAACACUGGAAUAUGCUCGACCCUGCAUCCUGGAAAACAUUAGUACUCAAUACAUUUAUGACGAACACAUGUUUGAAAGAAAAGUUGAGCAACAAGGCGGAUGAAAUAAAAGGAACCUAAUUUGAAGAAGUUCUUACAGGUUGGUAUUAUUUUUGGAGGGGAGAGUCAUGAAUUUUAUUCUGCCCUCACCUAUCCAUGACUAAAGGAUUUCAGAUAAACAGGGAUAUCAUAGGAAACUAAAAC